rnacentral:rRNA from 1 species
CGAACGGGUGAGUAACACGUGAGGAACCUGCCCCGAAGACCGGGAUAACUCUCCGAAAGGAGUGCUAAUACCGGAUGUCCCCACCGGAUCGCAUGGUCUGGUGAGGAAAUGGAUUCCGCUUCGGGAGGGCCUCGCGGCCUAUCAGCUUGUUGGCGGGGUAACGGCCCACCAAGGCUUCGACGGGUAGCUGGUCUGAGAGGACGAUCAGCCACACUGGGACUGAGACACGGCCCAG